GACGAACGCUGGCGGCGUGCUUAACACAUGCAAGUCGAACGGAAAGGCCCUGCUUUUGUGGGGUGCUCGAGUGGCGAACGGGUGAGUAACACGUAAGUAACCUGCCCUUGACUUUGGGAUAACUUCAGGAAACUGGGGCUAAUACCGGAUAGGAGCUCCUGCUGCAUGGUGGGGGUUGGAAAGUUUCGGCGGUUGGGGAUGGACUCGCGGCUGAUCAGCUUGUUGGUGGGGUAGUGGCUUACCAAGGCUUUGACGGGUAGCCGGCCUGAGAGGGUGACCGGCCACAUUGGGACUGAGAUACGGCCCAGACUCCUACGGGAGGCAGCAGUGGGGAAUAUUGCACAAUGGGCGGAAGCCUGAUGCAGCAACGCCGCGUGCGGGAUGACGGCCUUCGGGUUGUAAACCGCUUUCGCCCGUGACGAAGCGUGAGUGACGGUAAUGGGUAAAGAAGCACCGGCUAACUACGUGCCAGCCGCCGCCGUAA
rnacentral:rRNA from 1 species